CACAAGGUGAAGAGAACUAUCAGGCAAUUGAGUGUAUUCCCUGCAGGGCUGCUCCCACUUCUAUCUGACUUGGGUCUAGAUGACUCAAGUGAUUCCCUAGGGGAAAAUAAUCUAUGUGGAACAGCUGUCAUGAGUAGGGCUUCUGCUGUUCUUCAGCCUCAAUUUCAGCCUGCUAUUUCCUGUGACAUCAUUCAGUGAUUCCUCCCUUUAAGGGGAUAGUUUUCUCUUGUAUUACAGGUGACUGCUUGAAAGUGGCUAGACGAGAGCACACUGCCACCACUCUUUCUUUGGAGGCCUGUAACUGUCUGAGUGUGUCGCAGGAAGACUCGGUUACAGUGUUCCCUGGAUAUGUAGCUUUCCAUUACAACAGUAUGCAAGCCAAGAUGAAACCACCUCUGUUUGGGUUUCAGCAGCUGUCUGCCUACGGAAGGCUCCAGAGUCCCUGAUGCAUAUUUAUAUCUCCGCUUCACUGAAGUCACAAGGAACAAACACGCGGAAAUUUUCCCCAGAAGCACAAGUCCAUUCAUAUUUCUUCAAAUGAAGGACUCCAAGCUGGGAAACAAACCCCACCAUCUUCCCAACAGCCACAUCACGAGAUCUAGCAGCACCAGCCUCUUGAAGUCGCUUCUCAGUGGAAGGUUUGCUCCGUUUCAGUGAAGCUUCUCUCUCAAAGCUCUGAUGUCACCAGGGCGCCCUUCGAGGGUCUGGAUAGACUGUCCGAAAGGUCAGGUUCACUCUCGGUUCUCUAGAGUGGUAUUCUUUGGGCACUCGAUGCUAAAUGGAAAUACACAUAACUCUGACAUAAAUACACACACACACACACUUUUAGUUCAAAGGGACUUAAAACUUAUUCAUGAGAAUACAGAAGUAUUUCCAUCUAACCCCCUUAAAUGAGCAGUAAGCUCUUUGAAGUCUUGUGGAGAAAGCUUCCUUCUUUGAAACAAAUUUCCAUCUCCAGCCCCACUGUGCUAUGCCAGCACCUCUGAAGUGAGAUAUUUUCAUCUUUUCUAAUUGUUGCUGUUCCUCUCAGACAUCUGCCAUUUCCCAAAUCUCAUAAACAUAUAAAUGGAUGAGACCAAAGAGAGGCAUGAGAUUCCAUUCUCAAGGUAAGUGUUUUGACAUUAACAUGUGCACCUUAGAAAUGAUCUGGCCUAAAAAUGGCAUGGCCUAGCUGCGGAACUGUGUACUCCAAUAAGAUAGUCACUAGCUACCCUGAAGCUAUUUAGAUUUAAAUUAAUUAAAAUUAAAUUAAAAACUCAGUUCUUUAUAGCAUGCAAGCCACAUUUUAAGAAGUCAGUCAUAUGUGGCUAGUGGCUACUACAUUCGGCAGCACAGAUACUGAACGCUUUCAUCAUCACAGAAAGUUCUACUGGACACACUAGUGUCCAUCUGGAUUGUCAGUAGUAUCAAAACUCCUUGGAAAGAAUGUCAGCUCAUUCCCUCUGGCUCAUUAUAAAAGCAGAUUGCUUUUCACCAUGUCUACUUAGAAAUAGUCCUCAGAGUCGGGAAACGGCCUCCACAUGAGAGUAGAUUCAUAUUACUUGCACAUCCUCACCUGCCAGUCAGCUUGUGUCGCUCCUUCCAUGAUUAACAAGGUCCCGUGAUCCAAGGGUAUCUUCACUCUUUCCACAUACGUGUAGUCUCCAUUCUCUUCCUAGAAAACAGCAUUUGUUGCGCUAAAUUUUUUGCCUGUGUAAUUAAGACGCAACAGAACCUGACAGAGGUCAAAAAAAAUGGAAACCUCUGCUCAGCCAGACUGUGGGAAUCCAUAUAUAGCUCUGUCACUUGCAGCUGCUUGACUGUGGGCAAGUUACCUAACCUCUCUGUACCCUGACUUACUCAUUUGUAAAAUGGGGAGGAUGACAGUAACUGCCACCUAGGGCUAUGGUGAGCCUCCAUUGAUAGAAUAUGUGUAAAUCACUGGAGACUGGCAUGCAGUAAGUGCUAGCUAUUAGUGUCAUCAUCAUAACCCAAAAUGCAGAAAAGCCCAUUCUGGCCUAUGAAGGAAAUAAAAGUCACGUGUACAAGAAUUCUUUACAUCUGACUGAUGCUGUGCUCUACAUUUUGACAUACUCAGUGUAGGGAAAAUGUCCUUUUAACCAAGACUUGAUGCAAUGACUUCCUUCACCUUCUUACCAUGGAUGCUAAUUUACUAAUUGGCACCUACAGUCUCUAUUCUUCUCAUGGUUACUUUGGAGUUUUGGAGAUAUACUCCUGCCUCUUUUCAGAAUAGCCAACAGUAGGAUUUUCUCAAAGGGAGCUCUGGCUUGACCUAAAUAGUGCUGUCAAACUGAGAUUGGCUGUUUACAUCUUUGGGGAUGGAUCACGACUCCUGCACAUUUAGGAUACAAAUGCCUUGUAUUUACAGAGAGAGCUCAAAAGCAAUUUCUGUCCAAUAUUCUCAGGAGUCUUCACAGCAUAGGCUGCAAAGUAAUCAACUGGUAGUGUGACUCCUCCACAGCUGAAAAGCAGGCACAUUAAACAACUUCUGUGCUCGCAGCAACAAAGAGCAUGUCAAGUGCUGAGACUGGGACAGAUCCGAGCUUCCAGAUUUCUUCACCUCCAUUCUGGGCAGAACUGAUGGGUCUAUUCAUUCAUCUGCUUCUCUUCCGAUACAAGGGGUUACAUUUGGGUUACUGCAGGGGUGAUUUCAGUGCAAACUGUGUUUAUGUUUAUUAUUGUAUGGGUGCUUCUGAGAACUUAACUGUUUACAAAGAUUUUCCCUAGGAAAAUCAAAAUCAAAACAAUCAUGAACUUGCAUAAACAGUCUAAGUUCCAGGCCCCAACUUUUGGCAGUAACUUUGUCAAACAUAGUCAUAAUUUUUAUAGACAGAAGAUAGAAGCAAUGUUUAAAAUAACUUUGGUUUCAGUGACUGAUUUUAAUUGCGUCUGCCACCUUUUCUCUUCCAGUAAUAAGUGGGCACCGAGACAUUUACCUUUGACCCCUCAGACAACCAGAGGGCAGUGGGAAGGUGACCCUGCCCUCACUGCAGCCCAGCUCCAUCUCAGAAAAGCAAAAGGCUGCUCUCUGAUUUAAAAAAAAAAAAAAAAAAAAAA